rnacentral:tRNA from 1 species
AUCUGGCUAGCUCAGUCAGUGGAGCAUGAGACUCUUGAUCCCGGGGUUGUGAGUUCAAGGCUCAUGACGGGUA